GAGCAAUCUUGAAGCUUCGGUUCGUGUAAGCUUUUGUGAGCAUCUUUCAAACCGUGACGCAGCAGAAAAUUUUAACGUCACAUGAAGAUGGGAGGAAGAAUCUGACAACUAAAUCUAACUUGCGCCGGUGACCAAAAGUGGAUUUUACAGCUUGACAAGAUUGUUCAACUGAGUGAUACGGUUUUGUAAUCUGAUGACGGUCCAGUGCUAACGUCAAUCUCUAAGCAACCAGUGCUGGAUGUUAAGUUUGGAAGGCCAAGUUGUGUGUGAAGGAGCACAGCCCAACUUUAUCACUGGCCUGGCAGCUGUUUGCCUCCUUCUAUAACUUCAACUUGCAGUACCAGGAAG